rnacentral:misc_RNA from 1 species
GAUGAAGAACGUAGCGAAAUGCGAUACGUAAUGUGAAUUGCAGAAUUCAGUGAAUCAUCGAAUCUUUGAACGCAUAUUGCGCUCUCUGGUAUUCCGGAGAGCAUGCUUGUUUGAGUAUCAGUAAACACCUCAACUCCCUUUUCUUUUUUGAAAUGGGAGCUGGACUUGAGUGAUCCCAACACUUUUCUCACUGGAAAGUGGCGGGUCACUUGAAAUGAAGGUGCAGGUGGACUUUUCUCUGAGCUAUAAGCAUAUCUAUUUAGUCUGCCUAAAAAACAGAUUAUUACCUUUGCUGCAGCUAACAUAAAGGAGAUGAGUUCUUGUGCUGACUGAUGCAGGAUUCACAGAGACAGCUUUGCGGCUGACUUUGUAAACUCGAUCUCAAAUCAAGUAAGACUACCCGCUGAACUUAAGCAUAUCAAUAAGCGGAGGA